rnacentral:rRNA from 1 species
GAUGAACGCUGGCGGCGUGCCUAAUACAUGCAAGUCGAGCGAACAGAUGAGGAGCUUGCUCCUCUGACGUUAGCGGCGGACGGGUGAGUAACACGUGGAUAACCUACCUAUAAGACUGGGAUAACUUCGGGAAACCGGAGCUAAUACCGGAUAAUAUAUUGAACCGCAUGGUUCAAUAGUGAAAGACGGUUUUGCUGUCACUUAUAGAUGGAUCCGCGCCGCAUUAGCUAGUUGGUAAGGUAACGGCUUACCAAGGCAACGAUGCGUAGCCGACCUGAGAGGGUGAUCGGCCACACUGGAGCUGAGACACGGUCCAGACUCCUACGGGAGGCAGCAGUAGGGAAUCUUCCGCAAUGGGCGAAAGCCUGACGGAGCAACGCCGCGUGAGUGAUGAAGGUCUUCGGAUCGUAAAACUCUGUUAUUGGGGAAGAACAAAUGUGUAAGUAACUAUGCACGUCUUGACGGUACCUAAUCAGAAAGCCACGGCUAACUACGUG